UCAUGAUGACCCGACGUCCUCCCUGUUAGACUUGGCCGCGCCUGCGGGCGCGGUCCUUUUUUCUUUCGGC
rnacentral:misc_RNA from 1 species